CCCUUAGAUGUUCUGGGCCGCACGCGUGCUACACUGAUGCAUUCAACGAGUCUAAAACCUGGUCUGAUAGGGCUGGGUAAUCUUUUGAAAGUGCAUCGUGAUUGGGAUAGAUGAUUGCAAUUCUUCAUCUUCAACGAGGAAUGCCUAGUAAACGCAAGUCAUCAGCUUGCAUUGAUUACGUCCCUGCCCUUUGUACACACCGCCCGUCGCACCUACCGAUUGGAUGGUCCGGUGAAGCCUCGGGAUUGUGGUUCUUGCCGCUUUAUUGUAGCGUGACCGCGAGAACUUGUCUAAACCUUAUCAUCUAGAGGAAGGUGAAGUCGUAACA
rnacentral:rRNA from 1 species